CUCUUCUCUCUCUUGCAUUGGAUCCAUGGGGGGAAUUCAGGCAAAACGAAUAUUUUAAUAGUCCAUGGCAUAUUACUCAGAGUAGUUUACUAAUGCUUUUAGGUGGCGCACUUGCUUUUCUUAUGGUCCUAACAGGGUAUGUUCUUGUCUCAGUAACUAGUGCAGUCACCGUUACAAUUGCUGGGGUUGUUAAGGAGGCUGUCACCAUAUUGGUUGUUGUCCUGUACUUUCAUGAUCAAUUUACUUGGUUGAAAGGACUUGGCCUCUUCACUAUCAU